UUUAUAGGUUCGAGAUUAUGCGCCAGUAUCGACAUAACGGAAUUAACAAAAGUGAAUGCAGAACCAUCACCAACCAUGCUACCUUGGUAAGCUCGGGCUUUUUUCAAAAUUGUAGAGCCAUAACAAGCAUAUUCCUCAUCUAAUCUAGCUUUUGAAGGCUGUGCUGGUGGAGCUAGUUGAAGUUGAGAUAAUUGUGUAAUAUUUUGGUUAUGUGGGUUGAAUGUAGCUGUCAAGACUGUUUGGCUGUAGUCAGGGAACAGUAUGUGUACAGACUUGUAUUUUUUAUCUUGCCCUGUAAUUCCUUCUUUUAUCAUAUAUAGAACAGAGUCAUUCAUCUGCACUACGGAUUUAGGAACAGCAGUAGAAUUCAGCCACCAUUUCUCAGAAGCGCAAGGCUC